rnacentral:rRNA from 1 species
CGUGGAGUGAUUUGUCUGGUUUAUUCCGAUAACGAGCGAGACUCUAGCCUACUAACUAGUCCGCAUGUUCCUUGUGAGGCAUGCUCCCUUUGGGACUUCUUAGAGGGAUUUUCGGCGUUUCAGCCGCACGAAACUGAGCAAUAACAGGUCUGUGAUGCCCUUAGAUGUCCGGGGCUGCACGCGCGCUACACUGGCGAAAUCAGCGUGCCUGUCCUCUCGCGAAAGCGACUGGUAAACCGGUGAAAAUUCGCCGUGCUUGGGAUCGGAAAUUGCAAUUAUUUUCCGUGAACGAGGAAUUCCAAGUAAGUGCGAGUCAUCAACUCGCGUUGAAUACGUCCCUGCCCUUUGUAC